GGGGGUCGGGGGAGGUGGGGGGAACUAUCUUCACUCCUUAAGUGUCUGUAGCCAGGGAGAAUUUUCUCAACUGGCCCAGCACAAGCCUCAGGCCCCAGGCCCUAGCUGUAUUAGUUCAGACCGGGAAGGCUCUCCCCUCUCCAGAUUUGAUGGUAGGAUGCAAGCACCUAAGUUUGCCUGCUCACUAAAACUGCACUCAGUGGAGGAGAUGUAAUUCCUGAAAGGUAAUCCAAGACCAGUUAGAAGAGGGACCUGGAUUCAGGACAGCCUGCGGUGACAGAUGUCUGCUCUUAGGCUGUUUGACAUCUACAUCCACUCUGGCAUGACUGGGAUACAAGGUUGUGAAAGAAGAUUUCUAGAUUGGAGCCUGUGCACAAAAGGUCACAAAUCUGAAACGUUUUCUUUCUUUUUUUUGUUUUUUGGAAUUUUAGGGCCGAGCCUGCGGCACAUGGGAGUAGCCAAAAAAGAAAAAGAAAAAAAACCUUUUUUUAAAUCUCUGGACUUUUUUUCAUUGUAAGAAGACCCACUUGGCUUCUGUUUCCUUUCUUCUCCCUUCCUUGUUUUCUUGGCAUGGCUUCCCAAUGAGAUUAAUCAGAAAGAUUCUCAAGCAUCGAGCAAUAUGCUAAAUCAGAGCCUUUUUAAAAUUGAAGAAUAAUUGACUUAUAAUGUUGUGUUAGUUUCUUGUCAACAGAAAAGUGAUUCAUUAUGUGUAUGUGUGUGUGUGUAUUCUUUUUCAGAUUCUUUUCCAUUAUAGUUUAUUACAAGGUAUUGAAUAUACAGUUGGGCCUUAUUGUUUAUUUACUUUAUAUACAGUAGUUUGUAUCUACUCAGAGGCUUUCGGUGUGUGGAACCCAGGAAAUGAGAAGGUAAAAGGAUGAGGCAAAUGCUGCGCUCAAUGUGAAGUCUCAGGGUCCAAAAACUAAGGGGGCUGCUCCCAGUUCCAGGCCAGCAACAUAAAGAAACAAUACAGAGUGAGUCUGAGACAUUCUACUGAGCAGGAUUUGCUUACAGCUUAUAAAAAUUAUUACUUACUAUUUGCUACCUGCAAAAGAGCAC
rnacentral:lncRNA from 1 species